rnacentral:rRNA from 1 species
UACGUGGGGUGCGAGCGUUAAUCGGAAUUACUGGGCGUAAAGCGUGCGCAGGCGGUUCGUUGUGUCUGUGGUGAAAGCCCCGGGCUUAACCUGGGAAUGGCCAUGGAAACUGGCGAGCUGGAGUGUGGCAGAGGGGGGUGGAAUUCCGCGUGUAGCAGUGAAAUGCGUAGAGAUGCGGAGGAACACCGAUGGCGAAGGCAGCCCCCUGGGCUAACACUGACGCUCAGGCACGAAAGCGUGGGGAGCAAACAGG